ensembl:snRNA
GUGUUGUAUGAAAGGAGAAAAGAUUAGCAUUCCCCUUGACUAGGAUGGAAGAAGCUCUCUGGCCUGACAACAUGCCUUUGGUUAAGGCAUAGCCACCUACUUCAUGGCAUCUAACUCCUGUUUGGA